GAGGAAUAUUGGUCAAUGGACGAGAGUCUGAACCAGCCAAGUAGCGUGAAGGAUGACUGCCCUAUGGGUUGUAAACUUCUUUUAUACGGGAAUAAAGUGAGGCACGUGUGCCUUUUUGUAUGUACCGUAUGAAUAAGGAUCGGCUAACUCCGUGCCAGCAGCCGCGGUAAUACGGAGGAUCCGAGCGUUAUCCGGAUUUAUUGGGUUUAAAGGGAGCGUAGGCGGACGCUUAAGUCAGUUGUGAAAGUUUGCGGCUCAACCGUAAAAUUGCAGUUGAUACUGGGUGUCUUGAGUACAGUAGAGGCAGGCGGAAUUCGUGGUGUAGCGGUGAAAUGCUUAGAUAUCACGAAGAACUCCGAUUGCGAAGGCAGCUUGCUGGACUGUAACUGACGCUGAUGCUCGAAAGUGUGGGUAUCAAACAGGAUUAGAUACCCUGGUAGUCCACACAGUAAACGAUGAAUACUCGCUGUUUGCGAUAUACAGUAAGCGGCCAAGCGAAAGCGUUAAGUAUUCCACCUGGGGAGUACGCCGGCAACGGUGAAACUCAAAGGAAUUGGCGGGGGCCCGCACAAGCGGAGGAACAUGUGGUUUAAUUCGAUGAUACGCGAGGAACCUUACCCGGGCUUGAAUUGCAACUGAAUGAUGUGGAGACAUGUCAGCCGCAAGGCAGUUGUGAAGGUGCUGCAUGGUUGUCGUCAGCUCGUGCCGUGAGGUGUCGGCUUAAGUGCCAUAACGAGCGCAACCCUUAUCGAUAGUUACCAUCAGGUUAUGCUGGGGACUCUGUCGAGACUGCCGUCGUAAGAUGUGAGGAAGGUGGGGAUGACGUCAAAUCAGCACGGCCCUUACGUCCGGGGCUACACACGUGUUACAAUGGGGGGUACAGAAGGCAGCUACACGGCGACGUGAUGCUAAUCCCGAAAGCCUCUCUCAGUUCGGAUUGGAGUCUGCAACCCGACUCCAUGAAGCUGGAUUCGCUAGUAAUCGCGCAUCAGCCACGGCGCGGUGAAUACGUUCCCG
rnacentral:rRNA from 1 species